CGAGCGGGCAUAGCAAUAUGUCAGCGGCAGACGGGUGAGUAACGCGUGGGAACGUACCUUUUGGUUCGGAACAACUGAGGGAAACUUCAGCUAAUACCGGAUAAGCCCUUACGGGGAAAGAUUUAUCGCCGAAAGAUCGGCCCGCGUCUGAUUAGCUAGUUGGUGAGGUAAUGGCUCACCAAGGCGACGAUCAGUAGCUGGUCUGAGAGGAUGAUCAGCCACAUUGGGACUGAGACACGGCCCAAACUCCUACGGGAGGCAGCAGUGGGGAAUAUUGGACAAUGGGCGCAAGCCUGAUCCAGCCAUGCCGCGUGAGUGAUGAAGGCCCUAGGGUUGUAAAGCUCUUUUGUGCGGGAAGAUAAUGACGGUACCGCAAGAAUAAGCCCCGGCUAACUUCGUGCCAGCAGCCGCGGUAAUACGAAGGGGGCUAGCGUUGCUCGGAAUCACUGGGCGUAAAGGGUGCGUAGGCGGGUCUUUAAGUCAGGGGUGAAAUCCUGGAGCUCAACUCCAGAACUGCCUUUGAUACUGAAGAUCUUGAGUUCGGGAGAGGUGAGUGGAACUGCGAGUGUAAAGGUGAAAUUCUU
rnacentral:rRNA from 1 species